AUUGAUAAUUAGAAAUUUUGGUAAGGCAUUUAAAAAGUCAAUAUAGAACCACAUUGUUUUUAAAUGCCUUAACAAAAUUUCUAAUUAUCAA